rnacentral:rRNA from 1 species
CGAGUCUUAACUGGGCGAAUGAGUUGCAGGGUAUAGACCCGAAACCCGGUGAUCUAGCCAUGGGCAGGUUGAAGGUUGGGUAACACUAACUGGAGGACCGAACCGACUAAUGUUGAAAAAUUAGCGGAUGACUUGUGGCUGGGGGUGAAAGGCCAAUCAAACCGGGAGAUAGCUGGUUCUCCCCGAAAGCUAUUUAGGUAGCGCCUCGUGAACUCAUCUUCGGGGGUAGAGCACUGUUUCGGCUAGGGGGUCAUCCCGACUUACCAACCCGAUGCAAACUACGAAUACCGAAGAAUGUUAUCACGGGAGACACACGGCGGGUGCUAACGUUCGUCGUGAAGAGGGAAACAACCCAGACCGCCAGCUAAGGUCCCAAAGUCAUGGUUAAGUGGGAAACGAAGUGGGAAGGCUCAGACAGCCAGGAUGUUGGCUUAGAAGCAGCCAUCAUUUAAAGAAAGCGUAAUAGCUCACUGGUCGAGUCGGCCUGCGCGGAAGA